GUCUCCUAAAAAUCCAGAACAGAAGAUCAUUAAGAGAGUGAUUGCUCUUGAAGGAGAUAUUGUCAGGUUUCCCUAGGACUUCUGCAUGCCCAUGCCACACAUAUCCUGUGGCCCCCGGAGCGCUGGCAGAAAUUGGAAUCUGUUCUUCCUCCAGAGCGCUUACCAGUACAGAGAGAAGAGGAAUGACUGCAUGAAUCUACCUGAGUUGCUGGCAUUGGGAGGCCAGUUACUGGAGAGGAAUGGAAAAAAGAAGCCUCCAAAAGGGAAAAACUUCUGACAGUAUGAUGCUGUGCGAGAAACAUUUACAGCACAUUAAGACGAUCUGUAUUAUUAAAUAAAUAAUUUUCAAAUGUUAAAAGUAUUAAAUGGCACCUGAUUUUGUGUUAAAUUUUAGUUCCCUGUUGUUUAAUGCCCAUAAAAUAUGCAGACCUUUGGGAAUAUAAAAAUAUUGCACCCACAUGUCUUAAUGGGGCUAAAUUUCAGAUUAUUUGUUACUUAUUAUAUUGAUUGUUGGGUUUUGAUUUUGGUGCUUGCUGCUGAAAUAAAUUGAAAAUAUUCAAUAAAAAUGA
rnacentral:sRNA from 1 species